rnacentral:lncRNA from 10 species
GUUUUUGUUUGUUUCGGGUAACAACUAAUGUUGGAACUAUGAAAAGCUCUUCUCUACUUUUAACAAAGCUUAGUCACAAACAGUUCCCCAGUUGAUGAGAAAAACUAAAACAACAGAACAAUUGAAAGUCCAAAUCUGCAAGCUCAUCUCUGAGAACCGAAUUCUACAGCCACUCCAGAUUUGUACUCCAAAUGGAUAGUUUGAUUGUAGAAAUCACAUCCCUUCAGUCUGCCAAUGUGAUAAGGGCCCAAGAGACAGUGAUGCCUAGAUUCAUAGAUAAUCCCCUUUCCCCCAUCCUAUAUAUAACUGGAGUCAACAGCAGCUGGAGGAAAAUGGCAAGAACUUGGAAUCAAGAUUAGGUUAGAAUAACACUGCUGUAGACAGUUUAUCAGCUCUUCAGCAUACGUCCGUUUUCCUUGAAGGAUGAGCCUGUAGAAACCUCUGACAAUAAAGUUUAUUUUACACCCAUUCCCUUGCCUAUGAUUUUUUCAUACAAAUCACAAUUAUAAAACUUU